rnacentral:rRNA from 1 species
UACGGAGGAUGCAAGCGUUAUCCGGAAUGAUUGGGCGUAAAGCGUCCGCAGGUGGCUGUGUAAGUCUGCUGUUAAAGAGUGAGGCUCAACCUCAUAAAAGCAGUGGAAACUACACGGCUAGAGUGCGUUCGGGGCAGAGGGAAUUCCUGGUGUAGCGGUGAAAUGCGUAGAUAUCAGGAAGAACACCGGUGGCGAAAGCGCUCUGCUAGGCCGCAACUGACACUGAGGCACGGAAAGCGAUGGGGAGCAAACAGG